rnacentral:rRNA from 1 species
AAUCUACCUAGUAGAAGGGGAUAGCCCGAGGAAACUCGGAUUAAUACCGUAUACCUCCUUUGGGAGAAAGAAGGCCUCUCUUUGAAGCUUUCGCUAUUAGAUGAGCCUGCGUAAGAUUAGCUUGUUGGUGAGGUAAAGGCUCACCAAGGCAACGAUCUUUAGCUGGUCUGAGAGGACGAUCAGCCACAUUGGGACUGAGACACGGCCCAGACUCCUACGGGAGGCAGCAGUGGGGAAUAUUGGACAAUGGGCGCAAGCCUGAUCCAGCCAUACCGCGUGUGUGAAGAAGGCCUUCGGGUUGUAAAGCACUUUAAGCAGGGAGAAAAAGUUAUAAGUUAAUACCUUAUAACCGUGAUGUUACCUGCAGAAUAAGCACCGGCUAAUUCCGUGCCAGCAGCCGCGGUAAUACGGAAGGUGCAAGCGU